UACGUAGGGGGCUAGCGUUGUCCGGAAUCAUUGGGCGUAAAGAGCGCGUAGGCGGCCAGAUAAGUCCGGCGUGAAAGUCAAAGGCUCAACCUUUGAAUGCCGCUGGAAACUGUCUGGCUAGAGUCCGGGAGGGGCGAGUGGAAUUCCUGGUGUAGCGGUGAAAUGCGCAGAUAUCAGGAGGAACACCAAUGGCGAAGGCAGCUCGCUGGAACGGUACUGACGCUGAGGCGCGAAAGCGUGGGGAGCGAACAGG
rnacentral:rRNA from 1 species